rnacentral:lncRNA from 1 species
CUAAGCGUCUUUCUCCCCCUUCGUAAGGCCAUCGCGUCCACCAACGCACGUCUUACAUCCGCCCAGUACAGUGCCGUUGAAGCUGUGACGAGUAAUAUGAACGCUUAAGUAAUUCAUGAACAUCCGCUGCGUUUGCCUAGCAUUGUCGUAAAGGAGGUCGCGUCGGCAUCAGGCCAUCAACGUUGCGCCCAGGACAACACUUGCUGCAGCCAAGAAACAGAAAGUAUAUCUCUAUUCGUUCAUCCCCUUGGUCUUAGGGUUGCCCCUAAGACGACGUAGAUACCACCUCCUGACACCGCCGUACCGGAAAGCACUUUUCCGGUACGGGCAGAGCCAGCAGCAUUCCAGGUUCAGAAUUGAACCCAGAGGCAGAAAUCACCAUUCUGAGAGUUGAACGUCGCCAUCCAUGAUUUAGACAUACCAUUCCAUGGCCUGUGCAUGCGCGUCCGUGUCCUUCACUACAUUGCUGCUUGCGGCCAAGAAACAAGUGAUGCAAAACGUUGCCUCAUGUCCAUCCGUCCGGUCCACACACGUAAGAGCAAUUUUCCAUAACACGGAUGUAAGCACCGUUCGGGAUGUCCGUCGUGUUUGCCUCAGGAAGUCGUCCUCCCGGCGGCGGAUCGGACCCUAAGCACCGGCCGGUACCAGCUGGUACCAGCUCCUGGAGCCGCUUAAUCGAUGCUGAUCGUGAUGUGUAAUUGGUCCAGCAUAAAGCACAUUCUUCAUCAUCCGGAAGGGAUCCCUUAGCCGUAGUACAUGUAAAGGAUGCGCAGGACAAGCAGUGUAAGAGGUACUCGGAAAAGAACGCAAAAAAGACUGUUCCGUCCAAAUAGCUAACAAGCUGUACCUUGGCGGAUUGCAGGGCGCUUCUAACAUACAUGCCAUCCUUUGGAAGUCAUGUUGUAGGCUUGUCCUGUUUGGUUUAUGUUGGCAUUGCAUUAAGAAGUUCAACGUGAUACCUGCAGGUUAACUGUUUACUGAUAACUACUUAUUCGGCGGCGUGCGCAUAUCAUUCCCUUACUUCGCCGGCAGGUCCAUGGAAAGUCCCCGAAAAGAUUACAUAACGUUGCAAAACUCCUUUCAGUGCUUUCGGAAAAGAGGUCCUAGAUCUUGAGACCCUGGUAAGCCAGAAAUCGCUGACGGCUAGCGCUGUAAGCGUACCUUUUCCAUCUCCUGUAUUUUCAAAGCAUACACACGCGCGAUACUUAAGAAUACGAAAAUUUUAAACAGUUUAACAGUUCAUGUGGAAGCGUUUGCGGUGCAACUGGCGCGAACAGGACACCAGAGGUCACAGGAAUUACAGCUCUUAUGACUACUAGCAGUAUGUGUGCGUGGUUGUUACAGCAGUAGAUCUUAGGGACGAGGGGUACCUGACGGCAAUGCAUGGGCUCCAUCGAUGCAUGUGCCUCGGCAUGAAGGGUGAAUACAAUACGUUUCAUAUGCACAGACCUCAUAGUUUGCAGCAUUUAAGGGAGGUCAAAUNNNNNNNNNNNNNNNNNNNNNNNNNNNNNNNNNNNNNNNNNNNNNNNNNNUUGCCUAGCAGUGUCGUAAAGGAGGUCGCGUCGGCAUCAGCCCAUCAACGUUGCGCCCAGGACAACACUUGCUGCAGCCAAGAAACAGAAAGUGUAUAUGUAUUCGUUCAUCCCCUUGGUCUUAGGGUUGCCCCUCAGACGACGUAGAUACCACCUCCUGGCACCGCCGUACCGGAAAGCACUUUUCCGGUACGGGCAGAGCCAGCAGCAUUCCAGGUUCAGAAUUGAACCCAAAGGCAGAAAUCACCAUUCUGAGAGUUGAACGUCGCCAUCCAUGAUUUAGACAUACCAUUCCAUGGCCUGUGCAUGCGCGUCCGUGUCCUUCACUACGUUGCCAUCACGUCCACCAACGCACACUUGACAUCCGUCCUGUCCGGAGCCGUCGUCGCGAGCUUCGACAACAUGAAUGUAAGCAACAUUCGGAACAUCCGUCCUGUUUGCAUGGGAUUGUCGUCCUCCCGCCGGCGGAAAAGCCACUCAACGUAUUGCUUAAGAAUUCCUACCCAAGCCUAUAACACAAACAUAAUAACAUUGUCCUAGCAUUCCAUAGCCCUACUUGACUUGCCUACAAGUCCACAGCAACGAGUUGCCCCGGUCGGACCCUCCAAGUCUAGCCCAGUAGCUUACUGUGGGCUGACGUUAGUGAACAUGGAAUGCAAGCUGUGUGUGUGCUCAUCCCCUUUGAAAAAGGUUCGACUACGACUUGACACACAGACUCCCUCCUGCAACAAAUGCCCAUUUUCUGUACGAGCGUGACGAGCAACAUAAGAGAUCCAGAACCGACCACACCGGCAGAAUUCAUCGUUCAGUUCCUUAAACCUUCAUUUACGGUUUCCCUACAAACAGCUCCAUGCCUUGGAUAUGCGUCUGUUUUCUUCCUUACGAACAUCACAUUUUACGUUCGUCAGGGCAGAGUCUUUGUAGCAAUCUUUCAUAUUCAGCACGCAAUGAACCCUUCAUGGACACCAGCUGCAUUAGCCUGGCUUGUCGUCCUUGCGGCAGCCUGGGCAAAUGGCCCAACGCGAUUUAAGUAUGCUGCUGCUUGCGGCCAAGAAACAAGCAUUCCAAAACUGUCAUAUCAUCCCCUGGUUUCGUUGUAUUUGGUUUGCAUACAAGUCGACGCGGAUACUACCUGCUGUGACCGCCGUAUCAGAAGACACUUUUCCUGUACGGGCGGAACCAACAACAGCGAAGUUCAAAAAACCCGACUAGUAGCUAAAAGUCAGCAUUCAUAGAGUUAAACGUCCCCGUCUGUGACUUGUACAUAACAAUCCAAGCAUCUCCUAAGCGUCUUUCUCCCCCUUCGUAAGGCCAUCGCGUCCACCAACGCACGUCUUACAUCCGCCCAGUACAGUGCCGUUGAAGCUGUGACGAGUAAUAUGAACGCUUAAGUAAUUCAUGAACAUCCGCUGCGUUUGCCUAGCAUUGUCGUAAAGGAGGUCGCGUCGGCAUCAGGCCAUCAACGUUGCGCCCAGGACAACACUUGCUGCAGCCAAGAAACAGAAANNNNNNNNNNNNNNNNNNNNNNNNNNNNNNNNNNNNNNNNNNNNNNNNNNGUUUAAGAUUUUGUUCCGUGGCAGUCCAACAACACGUCUACAUGCUAUUCUUCUGAAGCUGGAUGUGUUACGACCUUCGUAGCACUUAGGGCGCCUGCCGGUGAACGAGGAAUGUUUGCGAAAUUUUGCGAAGCUACGCAGGCGACGGGCGGGCCCCGCACUGGGUACGGAUGGAGCACUGGAAGUCCAGCCAUGAAAUACCAACAGGAUAGCUUUUCGAGAUUUUUCUUUUUAACAAAUUCUAUUACACAGAACAAAUGAUGCGGAUACAUGCCGCAUAAUCCAUGGGAUGCCAUAAGCAGGUCUCCGAUCAUUACCCUGCUGGCAAGAAGUCACCUUUCAUAUUACACGAAUAUUAUGUACAAAUAUAGGAUUGAAGUGCACUGCAGAAGGGCAGCAGAGUUUAUUUGACAUGUUGCACAUGCAAUGUCAUCUGGGCCAGAGGCAUUACAGCAAAGAUUUGGCAUAAUGGUCUGUGUUUGCAAAAUGGUUAUGCAAGCAUAGAAAGCAUUAUUGCUAAUAGGGUGAGCCGUAUCAGAUCUAAGUACGUUCCCCGAACAAACGGGAUGCGCAAUCGACGUUAGACUUUCAGAACCGAGCGAAAAGACAGAAAUCCCUGCUCCGAAUAUUAACGCUUACAGUCCAUCAUCCUUACUUAGCGUUCCAUGCACCGCGGAGCUAACUCUUCAUCCGUUUCCUUCCUUACAAUGCACAUCCGUCAGGGCCAGAGUCUUUGUGGCAAUCUUUCAUAUUCAGCACGCAAUGAACCCUUCAUGGACACCAGCUGCAUUAGCCUGGCUUGUCGUCCUUGCGGCAGCCUGGGCAAAUGGCCCAACGCGAUUUAAGUAUGCUGCUGCUUGCGGCCAAGAAACAAGCAUUUCCAAAACUGUCAUUUAAUCCCCUGGUUUCGUUGUAUUUGGUUUGCAUACAAGUCGACGCGGAUACUACCUGCUGUGACCGCCGUAUCAGAAGACACUUUUCCUGUACGGGCGGAACCAACAACAGCGAAGUUCAAAAAACCCGACUAGUAGCUAAAAGUCAGCAUUCAUAGAGUUAAACGUCCCCGUCCGUGACUUGUACAUAACAAUCCAAGCAUCUCCUAAGCGUCUUUCUCCCCCUUCGUAAGGCCAUCGCGUCCACCAACGCACGUCUUACAUCCGCCCAGUACAGUGCCGUUGAAGCUGCGACGAGUAAUAUGAACGCUUAAGUAAUUCAUGAACAUCCGCUGCGUUUGCCUAGCAGUGUCGUAAAGGAGGUCGCGUCGGCAUCAGGCCAUCAACGUUGCGCCCAGGACAACACUUGCUGCAGCCAAGAAACCCUAAGUAUAUCUCUAUGCGUUCAUCCCCUUAGUCUUAGGGUUGCCCCUAAGACGACGUAGAUACCACCUCCUGACACCGCCGUACCGGAAAGCACUUUUCCGGUACGGGCAGAGCCAGCAGCAUUCCAGGUUCAGAAUUGAACCCAAAGGCAGAAAUCACCAUUCUGAGAGUUGAACGUCGCCAUCCAUGAUUUAGACAUACCAUUCCAUGGCCUGUGCAUGCGCGUCCGUGUCCUUCACUACGUUGCCAUCACGUCCACCAACGCACACUUGACAUCCGUCCUGUCCAGAGCCGUCGUCGCGAGCUUCGACAACAUGAAUGUAAGCAACAUUCGGAACAUCCGUCCUG